rnacentral:tRNA from 1 species
GGUUCUAUGGUGUAAUGGUAAGCACUCUGGACUUUGAAUCCUGCAAUCCGAGUUCAAUUAUCGGUAGGACCU